rnacentral:lncRNA from 10 species
AUGGUUCAUUAGUCACUUGACCCAGAAAUCCCCACAAAAUCGUGCAAAUCCAGAGGUUCAGGUCUUCUUGAUCACUUUAAGAACGCUCGUGAAACUGCCCAGGCCAUCAAGGGUAUGCAUACGUGAGAAGUCACCAAGUGUCUGAAAGACGUCCCUUUAUAGAAACAGUGUAUGCCAUUCCGACUUGGCAGGGGUGGAGCUGGCAGGUGUACCUAGGCCAAACAGUGGGGCUGGACACAGGGUUGGUGACCCGAAAAGAGCGCUGAAUUUUUGCUGCACACAAUUAAAAAUGUGGAGAGUCACACUGAAUGUGAGGGUGUAGAUGUAGGCUCUCUGGUGUUUGAGCACCCAGGAUGCGCUGUGGGACUUCCAGGGCUGGUGGUCGGGUUCAUCCAUACAGGGCGCCCCGUCACAUUGAGACGAUCCUCACGGUAAAGACACUUGUUCCCAAGCCAGGUGAGGAAGUUGCACAGAGGAAAACUGUACCAGAAGAAACUGAAGAAACAAAAACUUGUGGCAUGGGAAUAA